rnacentral:rRNA from 1 species
CAGGGAAUAUUGCACAAUGGACGGAAGUCUGAUGCAGCGACGCCGCGUGAGUGAAGACGGCCUUCGGGUUGUAAAACUCUUUUAUGGGGGACGAGGAAGGACGGUACCCUGGGAAGAAGUGUCGGCUAACUACGUGCCAGCAGCCGCGGUAAGACGUAGGACACAAGCGUUAUCCGGAGUUACUGGGCGUAAAGCGCCUGCAGGCGGCCAGGUAAGUUGGGCGUGAAAGCCCCGUGCUUAACGCGGGGAGGUCGGUCAAUACUGCGUGGCUUGAGUGCGUCAGAGGGGAGUGGAAUUUCCGGAGUAGCGGUAAAAUGCGCAGAUAUCGGAAGGAACACCAGUGGCGAAGGCGACUCCCUGGGACGCGACUGACGCUAAGAGGCGAAAGCUAGGGGAGCGAACAGGAUUAGAGACCCUGGUAGUCCUAGCCCUAAACGAUGGAUGCUAGGUGUGGGACAGACAGUUCCGUGCCGGAGCGAACGCGAUAAGCAUCCCUCCUGGGGACUACNGUCCGAGGCUA